rnacentral:rRNA from 1 species
UGGUGGAGUGAUUUGUCUGGUUAAUUCCGAUAACGAACGAGACCUCAGCUUGUUAACUAGUGUCGCACGACCUCUAUAUGGUUGAAGCGUCGAAGACGUCGGCUUGGUCGCAAGAUUGAGUUCGGCGGAUUCGGCGUGGAUGCUUGAGGCUUGGGUGAUCAAUCAACUUCUUAAAAGGACUGUUGGCAUUUAGCCAAAGGAAGGAGCCAAUAACA